UGGGGAAGGGGUAUCAUGGAUUUCAUAUGAGGAGUAGGUAUCAGGGAUUACUUUUGGGAAGUGGUUUUCAGGGAUUACUUUGAGGGAGUUCAAUAAAAAAAAUCGAAUCAUCAUGGCACAUUAUUUAAGUCAGUGAAGAUGAUUGUAAGAAAAAUGAAAUCAUAAGCAUAUGAACAAUAUUGAAAUCCACACAUAGAUACCUAUGUGUAUUCAAUGAUGUGCCUGGGCCGUGUGUUACAUUUAUACCCUGUUGAAGUAUAGUUUUUAAUUGAAAUGACGAUAUUGAUGUGGCUCUAAAACUCAUUCAUUUAAAAUAAAAAUGCUGAUAGAAAUAGUAUACGAAUGAAACACUGUUGUUGUUUUCCAGUGCAUGAACGAUAACUUCAAAUCAAGACGGAAGAAGAAUAGGCGAUAUAUUUGGGUUUUUUUCAUCGUCUCCAUUGUAAUUGUCUUUCAGAGUAUAUUUUUUUCUGAGGAAUAGCUUUACCAUCGUUCAGACAUUGAACACGAUGUUAAUGAUACAAUUAUUAGUGUUUUGUGGCACUGCGGUCGUUGUAACGUCCGACAGAGUGUGUGAUGUAUGUGACUGUAGAGGUACCCAGGUAUAUUGUUAUGAACGUAAUUUGAAAGAAAUCCCGACUGACAUCUCAAAGAAUACAACAAUUCUGUAAGUACCAGAAUGUUACCAAUGUUUCAUUUAGAGAAUGAAUGAUACAUCAUCACCCUUUCAUUCUUUUUUAAAACGACUGGAGGUGGGAGUCGAGUUUGAUUUAUUUUUCAAUAUACUGUAUACGUGUAAGAUAAGCCAAAAUAUAGAGUUGAUUUUCAGACAAUUACGAUCCCUGCAUUUUGGAAUGAAAAUCUAAAGAUGGUAUAGUUAAUGUUUUUCACCAUUGCCGUUAGCAUUAUUGCUUCUGAGUCCAAUGAUAUACCAUGAAUCUAAUUUCACUUCAGUAAUAUCCUAAUGUUCCAAUAUUCUAGCAUGUGACUUUGACAAUCAUUACAUGAUUUAUAUCCAAUUGACCUCAAUGUAGUUUGAAUGACACAUUCAGAAGGCAGACACUACAUGUUAAUAGCAUCCUUAGUAUCGAGUUUCUAAUUGUUUCGUGCGAUAUUUUUGUAAAAGUUGUUAUAUGCCAGAUUUGAUCCUCCAGCGUUAAAUUUUAAUAAAUGAAUAGUGCUUACGGUCAAACACUAAUUAACACAAUUAUAUGUAAAUUUCUGAAAACUCUUCUUUCACAUUUUGACAUUACUGGGAAAUACUCUUAUAUACCCAGUGAUUCGUGUUUGCCCAACUCUAUCUUGUAUCGGUUAUAAGAAUUAUGAGAUAGGUCACUGUUCCUUAUACUCCUCUUUCAAUAUAUAUUCACAGAAAGAAAAGAUUGGACGUCACUGUAACAGAUGUUAGGUUUAAUCUCUUGAUAUAUCAUUCUUUAUCAUCCAUUUUUUAAAGUAAAACAAACACGAUAUAUUAAACAAAGCUUACUACCGACAAUAUGUGAGAAGAUUUUCAUGUAACCUGAUUGAUAAAGAGCAUUCAUUUGACAAUACGGAUGCAUGAGUGUGAAAUAUAUUUUGGGCAUCCUCACUAAAAGAAAAAAAAUAUCAAUGCAACAUUCGAGCUUUAUUACGACCAUGGUGAUUUCUUCAAAAUGGUACAUCGACUGUGGAAAGGCAUCUAAAAGAAUCAUAUUUGGCUGCUAUGAGAUUGAUCACUGUUCGUUAUCUCCGUCCUUCUGUUCACAAUUCACUGGAUUAGUGGUGAUUUUAAUUUUAACUAAAUAGUUCUGAAGUUCGUUUAUUAAGAAAACAAUUGUGAAUUACAUGAAAUUAACAAUUCUCAAAUCUUUUCAACAAAAUCUAAAUCUCAUGUCACUCUCGAUUAAAUAUUUUUAUGUGAAUACACAGGACUGAGCAAUCUAUGAACGUUAAUAACUCGUUGAAAUAUUCUACUAGGACGUACUGGGAAUAUCAAAACCAGACACUAACCUUUCAGCAAAAAAAGAUACAGUGGUAAUUCGUCCGCCACCUCAGCUUAACAACUCACUGAAACAGUGAUUUUGGGUAGCAUGACCGUAAAUAAUGAGAAUGAAAGUACACCAAAAAUCGGGUUUCACCACUCUCUAGUGCUCUUCUUUGACGAGAACCGUUAACACGUCGUAAUUGUGUUUUAUAUAUAACUGUAUUGAAAUAAAACAGUCUGCUUUAAAUGGUUAUACCUUCCAUGUGAUAUAUUUCUAAGUAAAACACAUUUUCAUAAAAGAACCCGUGCUAGUAGCUAUUGCAUUUGAAAUAAUCUGCUUAUCUUUAACGUAAUUUUACCGCGAGUGGGUCGUCAUACUUUAUAAUGUCGUAGAACAUUAACAUGUGUUAGUAAUGUUAAUAAACUAGCAAAAAAUUGAUUAAAACAUGACAAUGUUUCAUCACGUUUCUUCUCAUUUUACGACCUUCAUGGUUGUAAACAAAAGCGAGCUCGAAUAUACGCGCAGUGUACGAUGUCGCAUUUAGUGUAUUCUAAAGCAGUCCAGAAACAUACAAAGGCGAUCCGUUAGAACUAGGAAGGGUAGUUAUAGAUCAAGCUACAUCCGAUAUUCUCACAAGUGAGUGGCAGACAAGAAAAUUACAGACAAGUAGACACAACUACACACAUGGUAACACAGUACAGUACUGUAUAUACAUACAUAUGGUGUCAGACGAGAGGGGAGACUGUCAGCAUGUUAGCGAUGUAGUACCCAAACCAGAGGUUGCUGAUAUAGUGUUGAAUGAAUUUGUAAGUUUUUCAAUAUACAAGGUAUUUUUUUAUGAAAAAGUAGAUCAGUACCUAAAUUGAUCUGCGAUAUUUCAGAUUCCGCAGAGUCGGUCAUGAGCGAAUCUCUCUCCUAACGUUCAAUGUAUCAUUAUUUCGAUUAAAAAGUGUAAUAUUUAUAAUUGUUUUAAAAACAAAAAACAAGGUAUACAGCGAAUUUAAUUCAUUAAAAAAAUGAAAUGGAAAAGGGGUUUCUCCCAUCUAGAGAAUUAUGAUGCGCCGUUCCUGUACAGAUUAGUUAAAACAAAAUAUAAUGUUGUCCACUAUUUAUACAUGUAUAUAUAUCAUAUGUUUCUAUUGGGCUACUGGAUCGAUAAUUUGUUUCUGAUCAGUUCUGGAAAAUUGAAUUAUCUUAUCGACAGUUUAUUUGAAUUAUUCCUUCAGAGUGCAAAUGUCAAAAAGUUUUAAUAAUGUUAAAAUUUGUUUAUAGGGUAUUGCAAAUGCACAUUUAGAAAAUGAUGAUUAGAAUUUCAGCAUAUAUUUCAUAAACAUUCAUUUAUGCACAAUCAAAUUCAUAUAUAAUAUUUUUUGCAUAAGACAUUCUUUUAGCGUAAUAAUUUAUUGAGCUUUAAGGCAUUAAAAAAAAUAAUUACUCGCUAGACAAAAAAUGGAAUUAGUUGAAGUUGGUGUAUUAGCAAUCUGGUGGUAAACCUAAUGGUUUAUUUUCUUCUAUUGUUAAGACUUUACAGUAUUGAUAUAAAUUGAGUCCCAAUGUUUGCUUUCUAGCUACAUCCCUUUUGUAACCACAAUGACAGAGAUGCUAUCAUCACAUGAGGAACCAUACCAGGAAGUGCAGAUUUUUUCCUCGUGGCCACAUGGAAGUUGACUGUUAAAACUUGUAUCUGGAUAAUAACUCAAGAUCCCAUCCCUCAGAUCAGAGAGCGGAAUAUACGGAUCUAACUGACCAGUCAAAUACAAAUGAGGAGGGACAUGAUGGUCCAGGCAUACUGUAUACCAAUCUUACAUGAACGUGGAAUUAGCGUCAUUGAUAGAACUCACGCAUUGGAAUUCCAACAACAUUUUGAAGGGCAAUAUACGAUGACGUAUUGUAUCAUGUAGUAUUAUAUGCCCUUAUACACGGAUUGUGAGAUAUUUAAUAUUAUAUUGUCACUGUUCCUUAUCUUCACUUUUUAUGUAAAUAUAUACAAUUAAAUGAUUGAAUCCCCUCAUAAGUCUACACUUUUUGUUGUUUGUUUCCAGUAAAGAACAUAGGAUCCAACAAAACAAAAUCGUUACAAAUGUUCGGCAUUGCUUUAAAAAACUCUUUACCACAUGAUUUCAACGUGGAACUUUUAUUUCUCUAUUUUAUUCAAUUCUUUAUUUGACUAUCAAUCGCUGAUUUUUAAUAUGGAUUACUCUGUUUACCUGAUAGGGUGGGUCAAGUUGACAGCAGGGUGCUUACUCCGCAUAGGAACCCGAUUCCACCUCUGAUAUAUCCAGGAGUCCGUGUUUGCCUAACUCUCUAGUUUGGAUUUCUUAUAAGAGUUCCAUUGGUACAGUGGAGGUGGGAGCAGUUGCCUAUGAGGAGUAAUCAUUCCCUGUUGACUGGUCACACUCGCCGUGAGACUUAUAUGUUGACCAGAUAUUUUAAUUUCAUCUAUAUGCAAUACAUGGUUCUGUUUUAGGGAAGAGGGUGUCUGACCCAUACAGUGAUUGUUUAUUAUUUUCCCCUAGAACAUUUAUGUCAAUAUUGUUUAAACUUUUAUUUGUAUGACGUUUCAGAAAUUGGAUAAUUGAUGUGUAUUUUAAAUUCAUUAUUAUCAUUUAGAACACUACUGGAUAUCAACCCCCCACGCUGAUGAAUCAUUUAUACUGUAAUAAGAAAGAAAAAAAGAAAACAAAACAGCACAGGAUUUGAACUCGAUCUCCCUAAAUAUUUUGUCAAGUGCUCUACGAACUGAUGUAUCUGGCUACCGGCGAUCGAACCCGUCUGACCGCCAUAUACAGUGAACAAGAUGUUUAUUUUCACAACACAACAUAAAAAUCAACAAUCACUAGAACAUUGAAUAUAACCGAGUUCAGGUGAAUUUCGUGCGUUUUAAAAGUUUACAAUAUUCACUAUAAAACUGAUUUAUAUCGAAUAUAGCUUUAAAAUAUUCUCCAAUAGUAAUUCCCACUCUUCACUUGGAAGAUGAAGAUGAAAUAUCUCCAUAUGAGUUAAAAUUCCAAAAUAAGGACGUUAAAUGAUAUACAAUUAAUAAAUCAAUAUAACAUCUUCCAGCUAAGAUUUCUUUUGUGCCUUGCACCCAUGUAAUUUGUUCGUCAUCGAGAACACAACAAUCUAGUAUCCCUGCAAUACCCUGUACUAUGAAAAACGGUGUUUUAAGUCUUCAAGACAUAUACCAAUGUUUUCUGAUUGAAAGACAUGUCCAUUAUGCU